rnacentral:rRNA from 1 species
AGAAUCAACGCUGGCGGCGUGCCUAACACAUGCAAGUCGCACGAGAAAGGGUAGCAAUACCUGAGUAAAGUGGCGCACGGGUGAGUAACACGUGAAUUAUCUACCUCCGAGUGGGGAAUAAACUGAGAGAAAUCUUAGCUAAUACCGCAUAACACUUACGAGUCAAAAGCAGCAAUGCGCUUGGAGAGGAGUUCGCGGCCGAUUAGUUAGUUGGCGGGGUAAUGGCCCACCAAGACGAUGAUCGGUA